AUUGAACGCUGGCGGCAGGCCUAACACAUGCAAGUCGAACGAGUGGCGGACGGGUGAGUAAUGUCUGGGAAACUGCCCGAUGGAGGGGGAUAACUACUGGAAACGGUAGCUAAUACCGCAUACCAUCGGAUGUGCCCAGAUUGGAUUAGCUGGUAGGUGGGGUAACGGCUAACCUAGGCGCCGAUCCCUAUCUGGUCUGAGAGGAUGACCAGCACAACUGGAACUUAGACACGGUCCAGAUUCCGACGGGAGGCAGCAGGGGGGAAUAUUGCAAAAUGGGCGCAAGCCUGAUGCAGCCAUGCCGCGUGUAUGAAGAAGGCCUUCGGGUUGUAAAGUACUUUCAGCGAGGAGGCGUUACUCGCAGAAGAAGCACCGGCUAACGCCGUGCCAGCAGCCGCGGUAAUUC
rnacentral:rRNA from 1 species